rnacentral:tRNA from 1 species
GCCCGGGUGGCGGAACUGGUAGACGCGUUGGAUUCAAAAUCCAAUAGUCGCAAGACUGUGAGGGUUCGAGUCCCUCCCUGGGCACCA